rnacentral:rRNA from 1 species
AUUGAACGCUGGCGGCAGGCCUAACACAUGCAAGUCGAACGGUAACAGGAAGCAGCUUGCUGCUUUGCUGACGAGUGGCGGACGGGUGAGUAAUGUCUGGGAAACUGCCUGAUGGAGGGGGAUAACUACUGGAAACGGUAGCUAAUACCGCAUAACGUCGCAAGACCAAAGAGGGGGACCUUCGGGCCUCUUGCCAUCGGAUGUGCCCAGAUGGGAUUAGCUAGUAGGUGGGGUAACGGCUCACCUAGGCGACGAUCCCUAGCUGGUCUGAGAGGAUGACCAGCCACACUGGAACUGAGACACGGGCCAGACUCCUACGGGAGGCAGCAGUGGGGAAUAUUGCACAAUGGGCGCAAGCCUGAUGCAGCCAUGCCGCGUGUAUGAAGAAGGCCUUCGGGUUGUAAAGUACUUUCAGCGGGGAGGAAGGGAGUAAAGUUAAUACCUUUGCUCAUUGACGUUACCCGCAGAAGAAGCACCGGCUAACUCCGU